rnacentral:rRNA from 1 species
AUGCGAAUUGCAGGAUUCAGUGAGUCAUCGAAAUUUUGAACGCAUAUUGCACUUCCGGGUUAGUCCUGGGAGUAUGCCUGUAUCAGUGUCCGUAC